GUGUGUGUGUGUGUGUGUGUGUGUGUACCUGAAAAGGGCAGAUUAGCCACACACUCCCACCCCCAGCAAG
rnacentral:miRNA from 1 species